UGCUUAACACAUGCAAGUCGAACGGUGAAGCAGAGCUUGCUCUGUGGAUCAGUGGCGAACGGGUGAGUAACACGUGAGCAACCUGCCCCUGACUCUGGGAUAAGCGCUGGAAACGGCGUCUAAUACCGGAUAUGAGCUGCGAUCGCAUGGUCAGCAGCUGGAAAGAUUUUUCGGUCUGGGAUGGGCUCACGGCCUAUCAGCUUGUUGGUGAGGUAAUGGCUCACCAAGGCGUCGACGGGUAGCCGGCCUGAGAGGGUGACCGGCCACACUGGGACUGAGACACGGCCCAGACUCCUACGGGAGGCAGCAGUGGGGAAUAUUGCACAAUGGGCGAAAGCCUGAUGCAGCAACGCCGCGUGAGGGAUGACGGCCUUCGGGUUGUAAACCUCUUUUAGCAGGGAAGAAGCGAAAGUGACGGUACCUGCAGAAAAAGCGCCGGCUAACUACGUGCCAGCAGCCGCGGUAAUACGUAGGGCGCAAGCGUUAUCCGGAAUUAUUGGGCGUAAAGAGCUCGUAGGCGGUUUGUCGCGUCUGCUGUGAAAUCCCGAGGCUCAACCUCGGGUCUGCAGUGGGUACGGGCAGACUAGAGUGCGGUAGGGGAGAUUGGAAUUCCUGGUGUAGCGGUGGAAUGCGCAGAUAUCAGGAGGAACACCGAUGGCGAAGGCAGAUCUCUGGGCCGUUACUGACGCUGAGGAGCGAAAGGGUGGGGAGCAAACAGGCUUAGAUACCCUGGUAGUCCACCCCGUAAACGUUGGGAACUAGUUGUGGGGUCCAUUCCACGGAUUCCGUGACGCAGCUAACGCAUUAAGUUCCCCGCCUGGGGAGUACGGCCGCAAGGCUAAAACUCAAAGGAAUUGACGGGGACCCGCACAAGCGGCGGAGCAUGCGGAUUAAUUCGAUGCAACGCGAAGAACCUUACCAAGGCUUGACAUAUACGAGAACGGGCCAGAAAUGGUCAACUCUUUGGACACUCGUAAACAGGUGGU
rnacentral:rRNA from 1 species